rnacentral:rRNA from 1 species
UACAGAGGGGGGCAAGCGUUAUUCGGAAUUAUUGGGCGUAAAGAGCUCGUAGGCGGUCUGUCGCGUCUGCUGUGAAAAUCAGGGCUCAACCCUGGACCUGCAGUGGGUACGGGCAGACUAGAGUGCGGUAGGGGAGAUCGGAAUUCCUGGUGUAGCGGUGAAAUGCGCAGAUAUCAGGAGGAACACCGAUGGCGAAGGCAGGUCUCUGGGCAUUAACUGACGCUGAGGAGCGAAAGCAUGGGGAGCGAACAGG